rnacentral:tRNA from 1 species
GUCUCUGUGAUGCAAUGGGUUAGUGCGUUUGGCUGUUAACCAAAAGAUUGGUGGUUUGACGCCACCCAGGGACA